AGAUAUGUACCUGGAUUCCAAGACAGUAUUCCAGGUGGCUCAAAGAAUUCUUAGAGUUUGUGUUUAUGACAGCAGUUACCGUUUGAAUUUUAAAACAUCAUUUCAAGAUUGGCGAUGCUUUGUGAUAACCUGUAAUGCGGUGGGGGAAAGGAAGUAACGAAGCGUAAAUUGUCACUCGGAAGACAACAGGUUCGAUCUUCCAAAUGGCAGCUCUGCUCGUCUCCCCCUCCCCCCGCGUGUCUGGUCUGGCUCGGUUCAGCAGAGCGGGC
rnacentral:lncRNA from 1 species